rnacentral:rRNA from 1 species
CAGUCGCCGCGGUAAUACGUAGGUCCCGAGCGUUGUCCGGAUUUAUUGGGCGUAAAGCGAGCGCAGGCGGUUAGAUAAGUCUGAAGUUAAAGGCUGUGGCUUAACCAUAGUACGCUUUGGAAACUGUUUAACUUGAGUGCAAGAGGGGAGAGUGGAAUUCCAUGUGUGGCGGUGAAAUGCGUAGAUAUAUGGAGGAACACCGGUGGCGAAAGCGGCUCUCUGGCUUGUAACUGACGCUGAGGCUCGAAAGCGUGGGGAGCAAACAGGAUUAGAUACCCGGGUAGUCCCUGUCUCUUAUACA